rnacentral:rRNA from 1 species
UACGGGGGGAGCAAGCGUUGUUCGGAUUUACUGGGCGUAAAGGGCGCGUAGGCGGCACCGCAAGUCGACUGUGAAAUCUCCGGGCUUAACCCGGAAAGGUCAGCCGAUACUGCGGGGCUAGAGUGCAGAAGGGGCAACUGGAAUUCUCGGUGUAGCGGUGAAAUGCGUAGAUAUCUGGAGGAACACCGGUGGCGAAGGCGGCAUCCUGGACCGGUAUUGACGCUGAGGCGCGAAAGCUAGGGGAGCAAACGGG